CUGCCUUUUUCCUUCGACCACAUUUUCUCUCAAAGAUACCUUUGAGCUGUUUCAUAGCUGUUCAGCAUGUGUCCCUGGUAGACAUCACUAUUGACUUUUUUGACUUACCUUGCUGUUGAUCUUGACAGAUCCUUCAAUGCCAUUUUGGUUGUAUUGGGUCUUCCGGAUAUUUAUUGCUGUCCAGUUGCACAUGGUUUUUGUUCUGUAGCUGCUGAAUGUUGUAUUCCAGAUGGGUAAAUCCAUGCACUUGUCAGAUGCAUGGACUGUUCUGGACUGUUCUCCACCUAUUUGGCCUGCCCUUUUGGAGGAAGGAAGAUAGUGCAGAGAGAGCCCAGGGGUGAGGAGAAGACCCUUCUAGUGGGUGUGAUUGGUCCAUGGGGCUGACUGUCCUGCCUCUCUGCUCCUCAUCAACUGUGUGACCUUGAGCCAGACACUAACCCCUCUGAGCCACGGUUUGUUCAUUUGCAAAACAGGAUUAUGGGACCCGGAUUACCACCUCUUAGGAUUGUUGAGGUUCAAGCCCUAAUACAUAAAGCUUCUGUGUUGGGAUCUCUAGGAAGGAAUCUUAGGAAUCACUGAGUUUGGCUCCCUCAUUUCACAGCUGAAGAAACUGAAGUCGAGAGAGCCUUUUGAAGGCAGGGAAUGUACCUCAUCCAUCUUUCUAUCCCUGGAUCCAGAGUCAGAUACUUACUAGGUGUUUAAUAAGUACCUUGUAAAUGAGUUGAGUGACCAGCUCAUGAUUUAAUCUCUCUCGGUGACUCUGUUGUUAUCAACAUCAAUUCCUACUGUGCUGCUCUGCCAUGAUGCCUUCGGAACCAAUUAGGCUGUAAUAGAAUGUGGCUACUAUGCUUUUCCGCUUAAUGUUUCUUCUCUUACCUCUCUUACUGCUACCUAUCGGUUCUUCCUGGAGAACUGGAUUGGAUCCCUUAGAGGAAUCGGCAUCGCUUUCUAAUUGGCUGUUCUCUCUAGGCUGGAGCAAGAGUGAAGGGCUUUGAGGGAUUUAAAGUUGGUACCUUUAUGGGAGUCACAAGGAGCAUUGCAAAAUAUUCCACAGACCAGAAGCACAGCCUCUUUUAAGCUGGAAGUUGUCUAAAGUCAUCUGGUCUCACCCGCUAAAGUCAUGCAAGUAUUUUCUAACUCACUGCACCCUUUCUGGUGCCUUCUACGCAUGGCAUGACUAGUUUACUCAGUGAAGCAGGUGAUGGUAGUGGCUGGUAAUGGCCGAGGAAUGCACUGGCUUCUAUCCCCUGGAAUCUCUAUCCAGUGACCUGGAUUCUUAAGUACUUUUCUCUCCCAGCGUAGGGGAGGUAAACACACAUAGAUGUGGAUUUCUCCUCUCGUUUCUGAUUAUGACCUAGUGAAUUCCCUUCUCUUGUUCUCUCUGUCCUUGCCAGCCCUCCUGAGUCCUGAUCAAGGUGAAAUAUUCUUUACUGUUAUAAACUAGUAAAGGUAUCCACACUAGUUUAAUAAUAAUUCAGUAGGUAAGGGGAGACAUAGGGGAAAUGUUAGUUGUAUCAUUGGAUUUUAAAUUGAGAUAGGAGUAAUCUCAUUUAGACAAAUUUCAAUAAUCAAUUGAAAGCCUGUAAGUUGCAGAUAGAUUACCAGCCGUAAAUUGGGAUUUAUGUUCUGUGGGUUUUUAAUGAGGGCAACUCAGGCAGCUCAGCACUUGAACUGAUUCACGUCUGGAAAGCACCAGCUGGCUCAGCCUCGCCGCGGGCAGUGUAGCAGAAGGGCACGGAGCAGACAUCAAGUUCAAGUUGUAGGCAAUAUCAAUACCUCCCUCCCGGGGAUGGUGUGAUGACUAAAUGAGAUCAUGUAUGUGAAAGGGUUUUGUAAAUCAUAAAGCACACAAAUGCCAGCCGCUCACAAUACCUGUUUCAAAAUUAGCAUCAGUGUCUCGUGUCUGUGCCGGGUUUUGGGUAGACAAGGAACAGGACAGACCAAGGAGCCUAUCUGGCAAGAAGCAAAGGGAUGCUGUGCGGAUGAACAGUCGUAAUUAGGGGAGUUGAUUAUUACAAACAAAGGGAACGUGUAAGUAUCCCAGACUCAAAAAGGGGAUAUGAAGUCUAUCUUACCUGGACCCUGUAUGGGAUUGAACUGCUGUAAGUGGUCAUCAGCAGGCAGGAAAUACAAAGCCAAAGAAGGCAUUCAGAGUGCAUGGUUCGGAACACCACGAGAGAGCAGAGUGAAGCCCAAAGCCUAGUUCCCGGAGCAGGAAGAAAAUCAGGGUGAGAUGCAGGUUGGAGUCAGGAAGGCCACUGAGAGACGCUGAAGUCUGAAUGCUGCCCAUGUGAGAGGCAACAUCUGUGGGAACGCUUCAAUGUCAGAGCCAACUGGGACAGAUGAUUGAUUAAUUAAAAAUGUUAUGAAUAUUGAUGCAGUAUUUACUAUGUCCUACAUGCUUAUUUACAAUAUUGAAUAAGACAGAUAUGGAUAUGUCUUCACAGCCUGGGGACCGGUGGGAUAAAGGGAUGAAUAAAUAAACAGGCAACUAUGUUACACUGUGGUGGGAUUAUGGGAUAGGAGGACCUUCUGUCCUAGCCUUGCCUGGGGGAGGGGUGAGGCAGCUACUGGAGGCUCCUCAGCCUGAGCCGGAGGGCCACCCAAGCAGGCUCCUCCCCACACCAUUGCCACUGCUGUUGCCAUCACUCAACUGGACCAUUGCAAGAGGCUCCCGAUUGAUCACCUUCUCCAAGAGUCUCUCCCGGCUCCCACACACGGAGUCAGUCACUCUCUUCCGGGGACCUUGCUGCCAGCCCUGCAUGCCCUGGGGCCCAGAUUCUCUGGACACCCCCACAGUUCACAUGUGCUCUGGGCUGUGGCUUCUGCAGGGCACCCACCUCUGGGGCGGGCCACCACAGAGAAAUAAUAAACAGCAGCACUGCUUCCAGAGCCCUCUGCACCCGCAGGGCACGGUCUCACUUAACCCUCGAAACUACUGGUCCCACCGACAAGUAUUUAACGAGAGCCCGUUUGCGCUGGGGGUCGAGAAGGACACGGUGAUGCAUUUUGUGCUUCAGGAGCUGACAAUUCAGCUGCAUGACUGUGAAAGUCAUCGAACUUCUCUGACCUUGUCUGACCGUGAGCAUCAGCCAUCCUCAGGGUGAGUUCCUACAGGGCAGCUGCUCUGAGUCCCAGAGUUGGAGGCGUACGAGGAGACCACACAGUAGAACUACCAGCUGCUAGUAGAAAAACCACAAUGCACAUGAGCAUUCUUCCAGAAUCACUUAACCCCAGAACUUCCAGGCCUCGUCUAGUCAAUGCAUCAGCACUGUCUGAGUCUCUGCCGCAUCCAUGUGAUUUUUUCUCAGCAACAGGAGGACUUUGGAGAUCAUCAAAAUAGUAACGGCGGUUAUCUCAGGACAAUGGGCUUAUGGUGAACAGUAUUUCUGUUUUGCGCGGCUUUCUGUAUUUUCCAAAAUAUCUAAAACACAACUGUAAUGAUUUGCCUUGAGGCAAGGAAGGAUGAAAUAUAUUACAGCCAUACGCCUUUUAAAGAAAAGGAUCUGUUUUGGUUUUCUGUUCUAAAACCAUGUGUGGGUGGCUCAGUCGGUUGAGCAUCCGACUCUGGAUUUUGGCUCAGGUCAUGAUCUCACAGUUCAUGGGAUUGAGCCCCACGUUGGGCUCUGCGCUGACAGCUCAGAGCCUGCUUGGGAUGCUCUGUCUUCCUCUCUCUCUGCCCCUCCCCUGCUCAUGUUCUCUCUACUUCUCUCUCAAAAUAAACGUUGUUUUAGAAAUUAAAAAAAAAAGAGUAAAAAAUGUGAUUCCAGAAAUUUCCUCAGUUUGCCUCAUCUAUAAAAUAGAAAUACUGAUUUCUUACUGGGUCAUGAACUUGGAAUGCGGUCAUAAACUUGGAAAGUGCUUUAUAAGCAUGUUAGGUAUUAUUGCUGUUGGCAUCAGGAGCAAUCACCUAUGGCAAGAAGCUGUGAAGGUCCUUUCUCAUUGAUACUUAACACAGCCUCACUGCAACCUUGUGAAAUACAGGUUGUUUUGCAAUUUUACUAAUGAGGAAACAGAGAGGGGACAUGAUCCAUCUGAGGCCACACAGCAGAGGCAGGAGGAUUCAAGCCUUGAUCUCCCGACUCCAAGUCCUGCUUACCUGCAAGUCUUUGAGGGCUGACACCAUAUCUGCUAAAUGCCUCGUGGGGCCUGCCCAACAGCCCCGAGCUGACUGUGUGGCCUUAAAACAGCUGUACCCCCUUAUCCUCAGCUUCCUCACGAGUGAAACCAAGAAAUAAUCUUUAUCCUCUUUUCUCGACUUGUGUGAGACACAACCUGGAGCAGUUGUGGGCUUAUUAUAAGCACUCGUAUGGGCAUUGAUUAGUAAGCUGCAUAAUCUUUAGGACUCAAGGUCUUCCCCAGAAUAUUCUUUUCCAAAGGGAGUUUCUUAGGGCAGCUGGAGCCCUCUGAGGAGGGGAAAUGACAAAAAGCUAAUCAAACAAGCUCGUGUCGGGGACCCACACUGUGUGUGUGUGUGUGUGUGUGUGUGUGUGUGUGUGCAGGGCUGCCUGCUGUGGUCGGGCCCAGGGAGGCCCCUGCUGAUACCAGCUGGCCACACUGGAGGCGGCAGGACACUGCUGAGAAUCUCCUUCCCAUCUCACGCAAGAAGAAACAACUGUUCCGCCAAAGUUUCUCUGGUAAACAGCGCCCAAAUAGUGUUGGGUGAUUAUUUUUUCCUUAGGGAACACUCACUCCCUAAAGACAGCUGCGUGUCUGCCCAGACUUGGAUAGGAUUUACUAAUAUAUAUUAAAAAAAAAAAAAAGGUCCUGUCAGCAGGAAUUGGAAUUACAAAGGCGCUCGCUGCCUGCCUUUUCCCCUGGCCUCUUUUUUUCCUCAGACCUACCAAAAAGGCCCAGAAGCAAGACGGAAGUUUAGUGCCCCUGUUUCUCCCCCUUAAAAGCCACCCUGGAGCCCUAACCCCUACCUUCAAACUGUCUGUCCAGGGUCUGCCCUCCCAGGACAACUUGCCGAAUCACACCCCCUUUCCCCGCUGCCCUCGAGGCUCUCAAAACUCAGCUGUUCUACGGCCUUCCUUCCUGCUCUUCCACUUUCUGCUAACUUGCAGCUAAUCUGACACAUGAUUAAUCUGAUGCAUCUGAUGAUACAUUUGAGGACGUGGUAGGGGGGGCUCCUCCGAGUGUCACUUCAGCGGGGACCUUGGGGCAGGUGGUGACUCAGCCAGAGAUGGUUUCUGCGAUGCGGGGGGAAGCGUUUUCCAGCAGGUGCCUCAAAUCACAAAGCCAGCCUGUCUCCAGCUUCUCAAGAAGGGCAAUGCUCAUCAUGUUUGCAAGAUACACUACCAGAGCUGUUUUCUCUCUCUGGAUGUUGGACUGUUCCUAGCACACGGUCCAGUGUGUCACUACCAAGACGUGAGUCAGCCAAAGGCUCUCGGGAGGAAUGGACUCACUCAGCCCCCUAGGGAAGGAGCCCCACGCAGUGCUCUUCUAGGGGGUGGGAGGAACAAUCUCUCCCCAUCCUGCCCCACAAAGACAGGACUCCCUUAUUCAAAGAAAGGGGCUCUGGAGAGGACUUGCCAGGCGAGGAGGGACUGAAGCUCCCUUCGUUCCCUCUGAGUUCCCCCUUCUUCAGGGUUUUUUCUCUGGGUCUAGCUGCCCCCUUGAGUUCUGCCUGUGCACUCUCAUUAAAGCUCAGUUGGUUGGGCGUCCGACUCUUGAUUUCGGCUAAGGUCAUGAUCUCAUAGUUCGUGAGUUCGAGCCCCACAUUGGGCUCUGUGUUGAUGAUGCAGACCCUGCUCAGGAUUCUCUCUCUCCUUUCUGUUGCUCUGCCCCUACCUUGCUUGCUCUCUCUCUCAAAUAAAUAAAUAAACUUAAUUAAAAAUUUUAAAAAUAAAGCUCUAAUUCAAGUGCAGACCCAAAUCUUGUCUACUCCUGGUUCCCACAGCAUCCCUGAAAUGGCCUAUAGGAACUUCUCUAAAUACUAAGAGUUAAAUGGAAAUAACCACAGACAAUGCAAAAGGCUUGCAGGUAGAAUGCUUUUGGAGUCUUUAAUCUUUGGGCUCUAGCCCUGAAGGGCUGGGACAGCCUCGCAGGCCCAUCCCUGGGGUUUCCCCUGGCAACUCUCUGCCCAUUUCUGGGGAGUGGCAUCCUUUCUUUUCUCAACACUCAUCUAUGGUCUCCUAACAGCCCGUAUCCUUCCUGGCUGAGACCCCAUCCAAGACAUAUACCAGUCUGGCGCCUCCCUUGGUGGGAAGAGCUCAACCCACUGGCAGAACUGGGAGGGCUGAGAUGGAGGGUGUCUUCCCCUUUCCUAUCUUGGUGGUCCCUCUGCCUAGCCCGCUAAGGAGGGACUUCUUCCCGCAUACACAGGGAGGGCCCCACAUGCCAUUUUAUGGGCUCACAGAAUGCCAGUGGCCACAGCAGUUGUUAGGUAACAAGAGAAAGCAAACGUUACUGAAAACCACAAUUGCCUUCUCUGGAGGGUGGAGCCUGGGAAAGGCAAUAAACCAGUCUCAGGCUUCCACUGCUCUUGGAGAAGAUGGUCCAUCAUUACUCAACUGAAUACUCUGACGGUUUUGAAUGUUCGAAGAUGGAGCUGGAAUCUGGCCCAGGCAUAGGAGCUGGAGAGAACUAAUUGCCCAGGGCAAUUUAAGGAGGGCCUUUGUUUAUUUGUUUGUGCUUUGAGUCUUGGAAGCUGAGAAAGAUGGAGAGGAGCCCAGAGAAGGACGGGAGCCGGCAGUCUAUGGAGGCUUGGUGGGAGAGGCCCUCGGAGCGGGUGCUCACCAGCAGUCCACAGGGUUUUGCCGGGUUCUCCACUGGGUGGUGGGGGGAGAGAUACAGUUCCCAUGACAGCAAACCUCCAACCAAAGUGUGGCUAUUCACUUUGUUUCGCCUGGGGAUGGGUGGACCGGGCUUAUGUCCCAUGACUGGGUCAGUGAAGGAAGAGCUACCAGAGGCAGAGAGGAGGACAUUUCAGAAGAGGCAGGAAAUUAGAGUGAAAGGGAGGACAUCUGCUUCCCCAUCCCCGAAGAGGCAGGACCUUGGGGACAGCCCUCCCUAGCCAGCUCCUGAGAGGCAGCAGAGGGGAGGACUGGGGCACAUACAGUACGGCCAGGUCACCUGGGUUUGGCUCCUGGCUCUGUAUCUCCCUGGCUUUUUGCUCUUGAGCAGGUUGCCUGAGUUUCCCCUCCUGAAAACUGGGGACAACAGCAGUAUCCACCCUGCAGGGACGUGGUGAGGAUGAAAGGCUCUAUAUCCAAGUUCCUAUCCAACAACUCCGUUUGGAUGUCCCAGAAGUAUCUGGGAAUAUAACGUGUGCAAACCUGAGCCUCUGAUCUUCUCUCCAAAUGGAUCCUUCCUCCAGGAUUCCCCAACUCUGUGAAUGAUCCCUUGAUGAGCCACACAAUCUCAAGAUCUGUCUUCUGCCCCAGGGAGCAAUGUAAUCCUGCUCCGCUCCAGCUGUGCAAGGAACACAGGCUUGGUUGAAGAUCCCGAUCUGAAUCUUGGCUGGUUACCACCUUCUCUCCGGGUGACGGGUGACGCUGGUAAGUCACUUAACCUGAUCCUUCAUUUCUUUGUUUACAAAAAGGGGAUGAUAAUAAGUCUUGUGGUGAGGAUAAAAUGUGAUAAAGUUGUUUGUGCUCUAGGCCCCUGGUUGGAGCUCAAGUCAAGGGCCACCCCCCACCCCCCACCCCGGUAAACAGGGACGUGAAAGGAGGUGGAUGAGGAGGGAGCUAAGUCCCCUCCACGGGACUGUGCCUUAUGGGAAAAGGAGGAAGACAGCUUGUUGGUGGGGAGUGGGGCUUCCUUGUGGCAGGAGCCCCCUGGAGGAAAGACGUCUCCCAGGGGCUUGAAGAGAGGACUGACUCUUACUGACACUUCAGGGAGGAGAAUUUGUCUGGAAAUUCUGCCCAGUGGCCUGUUAACCUGAGCUUGAGGCACACUCCCAGGGACUGGGUAACUCUGCUCUGAAAGCAAGAGAACCCCACACUUCUCAGUAAGACCAGCCAAGAAUCUCAGAGUCUCAGAAAUUUGAAGCUGGUUUAACACUGAGUUAACUGCAGCUCAGAGGGGACAAGUCACUUUUCCAAGGUCACACAGAACACAUAUGGCAUGGCUAAGACAAGAAAUAAGAAUGAGAAUAACCAACAACCUGUCAGAAUAGGCGGUCUGGACCCAAGUGGGGGGUCAGGUUUGAGAGUGGUACAGUGACCCACAGGCUGAGCUAGAAGGGAAGUCACUGUGACAAUGGGGCUUAGGGGCUCUGUGACAGUGUUGACCUAGGCUUCUCAGGUAUGUUUACUUUUUUUGAAAUGUUAAUUUAUUUAUUUUGAGAGAGAGAGAGAGAGAGAGCAUGUACAUGCAUGCUAAAGUGGGGGAGGGGCAGAGAGAGAAGGGGAGAGAGAAUCCCAAGCAGGCUCUGUGCUGUCAGCACAGAGCCCAACGCAGGGCUCAAACUCACCAAACGGUGAGAUCGUGACCUGAGCCGAAAUCAAGAAACUGACUGAGCCACCCAGGUGCCCCGACUUUUCUACAUAAAUAUCGCUACAGGCGAUCUACCUACCAGUAUUAUCCGGUGUUGCUGAUGUGGAAACCAAGGCACAAUUUAGGUAAAGUCCCCGAGGUCUCAAAGCCAGGAAGAGCAGAAGCAAGAAUACAACCCAGGUCUGUUUGGCACCAAAGCCCGAGCUCACUCUGUACAGCCCUGCUCAUUCCCAGGCUGGAGACUGUUCUGCCACAUAUGGCCUCUCUUCCUCCCCGCAGACUCUGAGCCCAGGGUCCCUGAGAGCACACCAUCACCCCAAACAACCGUCACCCAUGCGCACACACACCCAGACCUGCUCUCUCCGGCCUGUCAGGGACCUGCUCCUCGAUUCACUGGAACAGAAGAGGCCUCCAAUGACUCUGGCACGUCCGGGUUGCCGGCUUCUCACUCUCCAGCCUGGCAGGUGUGAUGAGCCUACUCUUGAACGCCGGCCCACGGGAGGGGCUGCAGAUUGGAGGGCCCCAAGGGCCUCCUGUUGGCAGAACAUCAGCUCAGACUGCAAGCAAGACAGGGUGUGUGAGUCCAGGCACCUUCAGAAACUCCCGCGCCUGGCCUCCCUGUGCUCCUGGUGACUAUGCAAGCCCUUCUUCAAUCAGAUUAGAUAUACUUCCCCUCCCCAUCUAUCUUCAUUCCUCCUUAUCCGGGAAAUAUUCCCGGGCUGUCCCAACCCGCAGUUCCAACUUCACACAGAAUGCACUCUUCAUUACUUAGCGUUACUAACUGCUGCAGGGACGUCUCUUGUCUCCAUAAGUCGAUUGUACAUUUCUGUGUGGGUCGAAGGGGCUGCCUUCGAUCCCAGCCCCACUCACUCCCCAGUGCCUGGCACAGUGUUCUGCUUAGGAAGAGACUGGAACAGUACUAACUGAGGAUGAUGAGGAUGAUCACUAUCUACCCAACACCUUUUGGAUGAUCUGCCAUUUUCUUUCUUUCUUACUUUUUUUAAAACAUUUUUUCAACGUUUAUUUAUUUUUGAGAGACAGAGAUAGAGCACGAGCAGGGGAGGGGCAGAGAGAGAGAAGGAGACACAGAAUCCGAAGCAGGCUCCAGGCUCCGAGCUGUCAGCACAGAGCCCAAUGCGGGGCUCGAACUCACGAACGGUGAGAUCAUGACCUGAGCUGAAGUCGGAUGCUUAACCGACUGAGCCACCCAGGCGCCCAGUGAUCUGCCAUUUUCUAAAGCUGGGCCCGGAGGGCAGAGGGGAUGGGAUGAGGGCAAGGAUAGCCACAGAGUUCUAGUGUCUAGGAAGUUAGCUUCCCUAUGAGGAGUGGGCUUAAGGCAACAACUGUCCAUUCCAGGCCCAGGUCUUGCAUCAUACCUGGAGCUAAAGUCCAGGAGAGGGAGCAACCAGGAGAGGGAAGUGGCUGCUUCCCCAGCCACUGGCCCUCACUCCUCCGUCUCUUGGAACCUCUGGGCCUCCACCUCAGCAUGGGAAGGACCACGCUGCUUUUCUCUACCUGUGCAGUCACCAUAAUGAAGCUGCUGCCUGAUGAGACCACAAGGGAAGAGCUGCACCAGAUGUAAACUUCAUAGUGAUUUAUAGAGCAGAGCUCUUGGGCUCGCCGGUGCGCAGCUGCUGUUCCAGCCCGCCCCGUCUGCCCGCCCCGUCUGCCAGGCCCCGCUGCUGGUGCUACUCUUGGGGAUUUCAUGAAAGCAAAGGUGGGGGAUGCACUGGGGGAUCAGACUGAUCUGGUCAGAGUCAGCACCAGCUGGGAGAACGGGGUGUCUCAGAGUCCUUCCCUAGGGCAGAAACGGAGCCCACCAAGCUUCGAACAAAUCAACUUUCUUAUACUUUUCCCAUCAGAGCAGGGAAGAUUUUCCUGGCCUCUCUCCUCAUAAAUUCAACACAUAGAGAUACUGAGAAUUGGCUGUUCAAAGGGAGAGUCUGCAGACCGAGUAGGGUCAUCCCUGCCCCAGAGAAAGAGUGCAAGAAGUAUCCUGGGAGACACUCAACCAGCUAGCAGCCCUCAAGACCCAGACGUGAGGCCAUUGGUAUCUGAUGGGUACACUCAACCUAGCUCUUAGCUGCCUGGAUGGGCUUAGAGAGAGGCACAUCAACCACACUUGUGGGAUCUACACUGGGUGGACCAAAGGGCUCUGGAUAUGCCCUCCUCAUUCUCUGUGCCAAACUUGUCCUCCCUCUGAAAAGCCAGCUUGAGCCUCAGCUCCUUGGACUCUUCCCUGGUUAACUGCAGUUGAUUGUGAAUAGCUCGGCACCCCCCUGUCCUACGUGUGGACUUGGGUUCCCUUCCAGGCUGGCCUCCGCCAUCGCUCACACUGGCCUGGGCAGGCAAUGCCUGAGAACAGGGGCUGUGUGGCAGUCACUAGUGUUGGUCACUAAGUUCUCCUCCUGGGCACUCAGUAGGACUUCUUUGCCCUGCCCUCCUAAGUUGCCGUGUGUCUUGCUUUGGCUAAUGAAAUGUGAGUAGAAGUCACAUGGAUCGCUUCGCCAUGGAAGCUUUAAGAAAUAGUGCAUGGUUCGCCACCUCCUUUGCCCUGAUAUGGUACCUACAGGAGCACACCUCCAAACAGAGCCUCUGUUAGCCUGGACCCCUCAGUCACAAGGUAAAGCAGAAACCCAGCCGAGCCGCAGAGUGUGUAUAACCUGAACAGGAGCUAAAUAUUGAUUGCUUUAAGCUACCAAAUCCUAGGAUUAUUUGUUGCUGCAGCAUAACGUCGUGCACCCCGAUUAAUAAAUAUGCCCUGUUCCUGAUUGCCUUUUCCAGGCUUCUCGUACACAUGGAUGCCCUUGGCAGAUGCCGCUGUCUGAUUCAGUCUAGAGACAUGGCCCAGUCCUUAGCCAUGAUCAGAGAGGUAGAUAACCCUACGGGUGGUAGACCUAAGGCCUAGCAGGUAGAGGGAACCGCCCCAGAACGUGUAAUCAGAAGCAAUGGGCAAAAAUUGUCUUCCCUGCCAACCCACGUGGGAGCUCAGCUGCCCCCACCCCACCCUGGAACGGAGUGCAAGGACUUCCCCAGGGUGGGCUGAGCCACUGCUCAGUUUCCAGAGUCCCCGCUUCACAUCCCGAAGGGCAAAGGCCCGCCUACCUCCAGGGGUGAGGGGGACGGGCACACACCCCACUCCACCCAGCACUAGGAAUCCUCCAGAAGCCCAGGAGGCAAGGCUGUACUCACACUGGUGGCAUACUGGAUGUCCUUCCAGAUGGAGGUUUCCCGGGACAGGUCGGAGGCCUCAAAGAGGUUGUCCAGGAUGACCUCUCCGAUCAUGUCAUGGCGGGAGAAACGGUCGAAGUCGAAGACGCUGAGAUGCAGCUUGCGGUCUGCCAGCUCCUCGUAGGGCACGGGGAAGUGGAAGUUCUCGUCGAAGGUGGGGUUCAGGGUCUUGCGGUGCACCCGCGUCUGCAGCUUGCGUUUGCGAUCAGGCAGGAGGUAGAUCUUGACGUAGGGGUCAGAGCUGCCGCAAAAGUCCUUGGCGGGGAGGUCGAAGGCCCUGAGGAUGCGCACGAUCAGGGUCUCGCUCUCGUAGUCAUAGCGCAGGCUGAAGUUGAGUUUCCCGCAGCUCUUGGCAGCCUCGGACUUGGCAUCAUCCCCGUCCACCGAUUUCUGCUUGUAGAGUUCGGGCUUGAUGCGGCCAAUGCUGGUGGGCUGCUCCGCCGCGGGGGGCAGCUCGUUGCCGUAGUCCACGCUGGACACGUGCAUCUGCCGUGGCAGGUGGCGCUUGAAGGACGUGUGCCUGGCGGAGGGGGCAGAGAUGGCGUGGUCAGGGCUCGGG